GUCUGCUCUUCAGCAGUCUGCUGCAUUUAUUUUCCUCUCCCCUGUGCUCUCAGCUUGAUGGCGUGUGGCCUGUGGUUUGCUGUUUCUUGCUUCAGCUCAUUGCCUGGAAACCCUACCUAGAAAAGCUUGUGGAUUUCACGCGGUGCUCGUGAUGGGGUUAUAACCAGCAUCAAAAGUGGCACCAUCAACAUCAAGAGUUUUCUGAACUGCAGCUGCUGUCCCCCCAGGAUGGCUCCCUGUGGGGACACCAAGGCAAGUUCUGCUCUGUGUCCCUAACUCAGGGGAAGAGACUCACCUGGCAUCCCUCCUCUCCUGAUGGAUGUCCUGGAAGAAAAGGGGCCACCACAGUGGCAUCUACUGCUUAAGGUGGAGGCCCAGCCCAGCUCUCAUUCACCCCUUGCUCACAGGCUCCAGGGAAAUCCAGGGAGUCCAACUGAGACAUUCUGCAGAGCAGAAGGAAUUCAUAAAGAUAAAUCUCCAGCAGCUGAGAAAGGAGAGAACCUGUUAAUGACCCUGCAGCACCAAGCCCCUGGUGUGAGCUCUCAGCUAUCUGCAGAACUGCAGGGCUGCACCUGCACCCAGGCACUCCCAGAGCACAGGAACAAAGCCAUGCCUUUGCUCCCCCUUUCCCUGUCUUUAAGGAACACAGAGAGUGGAUAAGAAUUAUUCUGAAGCCAUUUAUUAUGAAGUUAUUAUUUAGUAGAGUUAAAUAACAGAUGUGACAAUUUUGAACAAACUUGUGAUGAAUACUUUUUGAGAGGUUGGAGGCAAAGGAAAAAAUAAAGCAGGCUGAGCUGCCUUGUGCUUUCUUUCUGGUGGGAAAAUGUCAUUUUAGUAAGAAAUCAGUUUCAAGUGGAAAAAAGUAUGGAAUAUGUUGCUCUAGAAAAAAGCAGAAUAGCUGCUCUCACCAACAUUACAUCAACAAAAUAUUAAUAUCUGAAAAUCAAGCCUACAGUUCACAGACUACAGCCCACAGACAAGCACCUUCUGCUGGCUCUGCCAAACCCCUCUGGAGCAUUUGUCUGAGAUAUAAACAGAAAUGUCUGGGAGGCUGUUCCCUACAGCCUUCACAGCCCUCAGUGAAACAGAAAGAGGAAAAGGAGGCUUUUCUCUAAUUACUUUUGGCAGGAUAACAACUUGAGGAAAUGCCAGGGAAGACUGUUCAGCCAGAGGCAAAUCACCUCCUGGGAUGUGAGAGAGAGGAAUAAGGAAGGAGAAGGGGAAGGGGCCUUUGCUCAGACAUGUCUGCUGGGACUCAGCUGACACACUGCAAAACACGGUCUGAAAUCCUUCAAAGGAUUCAAAGAGGUUACAGGCUGCUCCACGGGCAGCCCCUUCCUGUGAGCCGAGAGCGGCCCCAGCUCCCGCUCAUCCAUCUCAUCACAGUGGAGUUUCAGAAGUGAAACUGUCACUGCACAGAAGCAGAUUAUCUGAUUGUGGGAGAUUUCAAUUAACAAUGGCACAACCAAACCCAUCGACGGGAAACUGGUUUGAGAGAUUGAAAUGGAAACGAUACUCUUUAAUGAUAACCAACACCCCCCCGGCAGGGCAGCCCCGAGUUGAUGCCUGCCACCUUCCUGAGGGAGCCCUCCUCAGAGGUGAUUCCUCCAUGGCUUACCCAAGGGCUGAACUGACAAAGAGCCACAAACACUCACUGCCCUGGCAGUUUUCAGCUUUUUUCCACACACUGUACCCACUGCAGGGAGGUCAAGGCUCCAGGAGCAGCUUGCGCUGCUCCAAUGCAGGAACAUUUUGUUCUCACUUCAGUGGCACUCAGGCAGAACAAGAGUCUAAGCCCAGGCCUCCAAUACUCCACACAAGCAUCCUCAGACUGAAGGCAGGCUGCAGUAACAAAACCAUCGGCCAGAUGUUAUCUGGAAAGACAGGCUGAUUUCCUGGCAAGAAAUGAAUAAAAAAUUCUACAUGAAAAUUCACUUGGAUACACUUCUUGGUGAAAGAUUACUCUCACACAAGUUUUCUGUCCAGUUAUAACUCCAUGCUGUCUCCACUUUCUUUUACCUAGAAAAGGAAACUAAUCAUCUAAUCAGGACAUAAGAUCAUAAUCAAACUCAGAGCUCAGGUAGGCUACAGCCACAGCUCAGUGGUGGCCAGGAGCCUGUGCCUGACCCAGAAGACACAUGUGCCAUGCUCCUGUCUUUGCUACACAACCCCUCUGGAGCCUCACCUGCGUGGGGCUGCCCAGGACACUUGACAGAGCUUGGCAGAAGAUGCAAAGCCAUAAAGGCAGCUGAGGUGCCCUGAUCUCAGUGUGAGCAAAGACCUCUGGACACCUGAGGCAGGCAUACACUAGUGCCUGUGACUUUGCACACUUUGUUAACUCUGCUGCUGUGCAAACAAGCCCACGAUGGUCCCUUCAGUCCUCUCCUCUCUGAUGACAUCAGACUGCAGCAACAGGGAGGUGGCUUGGGCUGGGGCACACAGUGUGCAAGGAGAAACUGAGAGCAACAGGUUUGUUCAGGCUGGAGAGAAGCUAAAGGGAGAUACUACAGUUAUCUGCUGCUCUCUGAUAGGGAGACACAUAGGAAAAAGCUGAAAGGCAACAGGCACAACAUGAGAAAUUAUGCAAGAAAAACAUUCACUGUCAGCAGAGUCACACAUUGGAACUGGAAGUGGCACCACUUCUCUGAAAACAACCUGCUGUAACUUUGAACUUGACCCUUCUUUCAGCAGGGGGUGGCCAAAGCAGCCUCCAGCCAUCCCUUCCAGCUCCAUGACCCGAAAAGCCUGUGAAGAACCACUUCCCAUGAGACCUCUCACACUUUGUGGGAAGCUGCUUCAAGAACUUGUGCCUUUCAGUUUUCUGUAUCUGUGAAAUGGAGUUGAUGUGAUUUCCUUAUUCAAGCCUUUGUCUAGCAGGUGUACGGAAUAACCCACUUUUUUAGUGUGGAAUAGAUGACUUGGCUCUUCAGAAGACACAAACCAGCACAUACAAACAGGAGAGAGGCACUUUGGUGCCAAUACUUAGCAUUUGUUUCAGAACUCGCCUGUGAUGCUGUCGGGGGCUGUGUGCUUCCUGCAGAUCUGAAAUCCUCAGAGCUGCCCCAAAGUUUCUAGCAAACAAAUUUAAUGCUUUCAUUUUACACCAGAAGCAUAACAAUUAUCUGGGAAAUCUCCCUCCCACACCAUGCAGUCUGUAUUUUGGGUGGCUUGGUGAUCUCACCCCAAAGAGUUACUCGGGUUCAACACUGCUUUUGAAAACUGUCAUGUAAAAGCCACUGGGUCAACUUUUAAGCCAGGGCUCACCAUGAACAGCUGUGUGUGCUUAAAUACAGAAAAACAAAGCAGUUGAAAGAACAGGACAAAAAGAAAUCUUCCAUCUUCUCUCUCCCACUCCCCUCUUACCCACAUGUUACCAGACCUUAAGAGACAUGACCUACAAGUACAACUGCUCUCAUCCUGCCAGGCCCUGCUGCAGUUCUCUGCUGUUGUCUUUCCCAGCUUCUUCAUAAUCCUAAAAUGGUCUUCUAAUGAAGAGAGCCACCAAUAUCUGCCCAGACACUGCCUCGUGCUACUCCUAACUCCACAGCACAUCCCACAGGGGGAUGCAGGAAAGCCAGGAACACAGUGAGAGCUGCACAGCCCCUCGUUACAAUGCUGGUCACAUAGGAACAGUCACAGAGAUCAAGAAAGGAAGUUAUGAAAUAACAAUAACUGGAAAGAAACACCAGGGACCUGCACCUUCUUCAAUCCUGGGGGCACAGCAGAGAGUGAAACUACGCAGGAAACAUGAAGCUGUCCUAAUUAAAUAUAUUCCAAACAGAGGAAAAUUAGAACAGCAGGGAGUUAUGAGCUUCCCCUUUCAUAUUCCCCCAGCAGAAGCUGUUUCAAUUCCACUGUCUGGAGGCACACUUUCUGGAGAGAAGUAGAAAACCAAGGAAUCUGAUUCCACCUCACAGCUGGAAGCCCUUCAAGCAAAGUCUGUGAGCAGGCCUGAUACAAUAAAAUGGUCCUAUUAUUCCAGCACAAGUCUAAGUCACUGAACCAUCUCUUUUUAGUUGGCUCCAGAUCAAUGGUAAAUAAAUUAAAUCCUUCCAUCAUUAACUCAAGCGCUUGCAAUUGUCUCAAUUUUAUUGUUAAC